UACGUAGGGGGCUAGCGUUGUCCGGAAUCAUUGGGCGUAAAGCGCGUGUAGGCGGCCCGGUAAGUCCGCUGUGAAAGUCGGGGGCUCAACCCUCGGAUGCCGGUGGAUACUGUCGGGCUCGAGUACAGAAGAGGCGAGUGGAAUUCCUGGUGUAGCGGUGAAAUGCGCAGAUAUCAGGAGGAACACCGAUUGCGAAGGCAGCUCGCUGGGACGUUACUGACGCUGAGACGCGAAAGCGUGGGGAGCAAACAGG
rnacentral:rRNA from 1 species